AGAGUUUGAUCAUGGCUCAGAAUGAACGCUGGCGGCGUGCCUAACACAUGCAAGUCGAACGAGAAACUCCGAGCUUGCUCGGAGGAGUAAAGUGGCGCACGGGUGAGUAACACGUGGGUAACCUGCCCUUGAAUCUGGGAUAACUUCGCGAAAGCGUUGCUAAUACCUGAUAUUGUUAUUUUAACUUCGGUUUUAAUAAUGAAAGAUGACCUCUUCAUGAAAGUUGUCGUUCAAGGAGGGGCUCGCGUACCAUUAGCUUGUUGGUGGGGUAAUGGCCUACCAAGGCUGCGAUGGUUAGCUGGUCUGAGAGGAUGAUCAGCCACACUGGAACUGAAACACGGUCCAGACUCCUACGGGAGGCAGCAGUGAGGAAUUUUGCGCAAUGGGGGAAACCCUGACGCAGAACGCCGCGUGAGUGAAGAAGGCUUUCGGGUCGUAAAGCUCUGUCAGAUGGGAAAAAAUUUUUGUGGUAAAUAGCCACUAAAUCUGAUGGUACCAUCAGAGGAAGCACCGGCUAACUCCGUGCCAGCAGCCGCGGUAAUACGGAGGGUGCAAGCGUUGUUCGGAAUUAUUGGGCGUAAAGGGCGUGUAGGCGGGAUGGUUAGUCAGAUGUGAAAGCCCUGGGCUUAACCCAGGAAGUGCAUUUGAUACUGCCAUUCUUGAGUAUGGGAGAGGAGAGUGGAAUUCCCAGUGUAGAGGUGAAAUUCGUAGAUAUUGGGAGGAACACCCGUGGCGAAGGCGACUCUCUGGACCAAUACUGACGCUGAGACGCGAAAGCGUGGGGAGCAAACAGGAUUAGAUACCCUGGUAGUCCACGCCGUAAACGAUGAGAACUAGGUGUAGCGGGUAUUGACCCCUGCUGUGCCGAAGUUAACGCAUUAAGUUCUCCGCCUGGGGAGUACGGCCGCAAGGCUAAAACUCAAAGGAAUUGACGGGGACCCGCACAAGCGGUGGAGCAUGUGGUUUAAUUCGACGCAACGCGAAGAACCUUACCUGGAUUUGACAUCCUCUGUUACCCAUGGAAACAUGGUUUUUUAUGCUUGCAUAAACAGAGUGACAGGUGCUGCAUGGCUGUCGUCAGCUCGUGUCGUGAGAUGUUGGGUUAAGUCCCGCAACGAGCGCAACCCUUGUUUUUAGUUGCCAUUAUUAAGUUGGGCACUCUAGAAAUACUGCCUCGGUUAACGGGGAGGAAGGUGGGGAUGACGUCAAGUCCUCAUGGCCUUUAUAUCCAGGGCUACGCACGUGCUACAAUGGGCUGUACAAGGAGUUGCCACUUCGCAAGAAGGAGCUAAUCUCAAAAAGCAGUUCUCAGUUCGGAUUGGAGUCUGCAACUCGACU
rnacentral:rRNA from 1 species